GACGAACCGUGCGAACGUUGUUCGGAUUCACUGGGCUUAAAGGGCGCGUAGGCGGUCCGCCAAGUCUGGGGUGAAAUCUUUCGGCUUAACCGGAAAAUUGCCUGGGAUACUGGCGGGCUCGAGGGAGGUAGGGGCAGCGGGAACUGCCAGUGGAGCGGUGAAAUGCGUUGAUAUUGGCAGGAACGCCGGUGGCGAAAGCGCGCUGCUGGACCUUCUCUGACGCUGAGGCGCGAAAGCUAGGGGAGCAAACGGG
rnacentral:rRNA from 1 species